GGCAUGGUGGCUUAAUGGUUAGCACGUUUGCACCUCUGGGGUUGGGGGUUCGAAUCCCACCUCCACCC